rnacentral:rRNA from 1 species
UACAGAGGGUGCGAGCGUUGUUCGGAAUUAUUGGGCGUAAAGGGCGCGUAGGCGGUUCAGUAAGUCGGGUGUGAAACCUCCAGGCUCAACCUGGAGACGCCACCCGAUACUGCUGUGACUAGAGUCCAGUAGGGGAGCGUGGAAUUCCUGGUGUAGCGGUGAAAUGCGCAGAUAUCAGGAGGAACACCAGCGGCGAAGGCGGCGCUCUGGGCUGGAACUGACGCUGAGGAGCGAAAGCGUGGGGAGCGAACAGG